CUCCAGAAAAAAANCGCCAACCGACCGCGCCAAAAUGGCCAACGAUGUUGGUUGUGUCGUGCGACCCUAAGCGCGCAUAUUCGCCACGUUCCCGUAUAAAGNCCACGUGAAUAGACCGCGCCGCACUGAGCCUCGUAUUUGUCGGUCGGACUCAGAUUACGCUGAGGGGAUGGCUGUCUCGGGAGUCAUUGGCUGGCNUCCUUCUCCGGGCUGCUGCCUCCUCCUGCUGCCAGCUCCGCGCACUUUUCNAUGGGAAGAGCUGGGGAGGCAGCGGCACCAGACUAAGCCCCGUACGGUUCUUCCAUGCCUCGGCGCGGCUGAGGUGCAUGUGUUCUACGUGCCUAUUCUACGUGCCACUUAAUUUUUGAAGACCACAUAUUUAGAAAACCCAGUGCAAUCACUGAUGAGGAAAUGGACAUGCUGGAUCUUGCCUAUGGCUUGACAGAAAGAAAUGGUGCAUCCAUCAGAUCUUUUUGGUUCUCCAGCAGCUUGGGCAGAGAGAGAGAGCAGGAAAGGCUCUAUGGCUUUAGAGUCUAUGUUUGGCUUGGAGUAGAAUCUUUCAUAAAAUUUAGCCAUUACCUCGGGGAUGUGAGAUGGAGAAUGAACUAUAUUGUCCUGGACAUCUUUAAGCUUAACUAUUAGAUAAAGAUAAAGAUUUCUGCUUCAUAUAGGAAGCCAUCUAUUUUGAAGGUUUAUUUCCUUCUCUGUAAAGUCUAUGUUUAAAAUAAAAUAUAGUUUUUAAAAUUUUAUUGUGUCCA
rnacentral:lncRNA from 1 species